GACGGAGGGUGCUAGCGUUGUUCGGAAUGACUGGGCGUAAAGGGCGCGUAGGCGGCCGCUUGCGUCGGAUGUGAAAGCCCGGGGCUCAACCUCGGAACGGCAUCCGAUACGGGGCGGCUCGAGACCGAGAGAGGUGAGUGGAAUACCCAGUGUAGAGGUGAAAUUCGUAGAUAUUGGGUGGAACACCGGUGGCGAAAGCGGCUCACUGGCUCGGUUCUGACGCUGAGGCGCGAAAGCGUGGGGAGCAAACAGG
rnacentral:rRNA from 1 species